ensembl:lncRNA
UCGGUGUGAGGUUGGGUUGUGAUGUUGACCUCGUUCGGUGUGAGGUUGGGUUGUGAUGUUAACCCCGUUCGGUGUGAGGUUGGGUUGUGAUGUUAACCCCCACUCUGUGUGAGGUUGGGUUGUGAUGUUAACCCUGUUCGGUGUGAGGUUGGGUUGUGAUGUUAACCCUGUUCGGUGUGAGGUUGGAAUGGGUUGUGUUGUUGACCCCGUUCGGUGUGAGGUUGGGUUGUGAUGUUAACCCCCAUUCUGUGUGAGGUUGGGAUGUGAUGUUGACCCUGUUCGGUGUGAGGUUGGGAUGUGAUGUUGACCCCGUUCGGUGUGAGGUUGGGUUGUGAUGUUAACCCCCAUUCUGUGUGAGGUUGGGUUGUGAUGUUGACCCUGUUCUGUGUGAGGUUGGGUUGUGAUGUUGACCCUGUUCGGUGUGAGGUUGGUUGUGAUGUUGACCCUAUUCUGUGUGAGGUUGGGUUGUGAUGUUGACCCUGUUCUGUGUGAGGUUGGGUUGUGAUGUUGACCCCGUUCGGUGUGAGGUUGGGAUGUGAUGUUGACCCUGUUCGGUGUGAGGUUGGGUUGUGAUGUUGACCCCGUUCGGUGUGAGGUUGGGAUGUGAUGUUAACCCCGUUCGGUGUGAGGUUGGGUUGUGAUGUUAACCCCGUUCUGUGUGAGGUUGGGUUGUGAUGUUGACCCUGUUCUGUGUGAGGUUGGGAUGUGAUGUUGACCCUGUUCGGUGUGAGGUUGGGUUGUGAUGUUAACCCCGUUCGGUGUGAGACCCUGGAUACAGCAUGGCCUACAGAAGGGCUUACCCAGGUCUACACCUAUACGAGACCCUGGAUACAGCAGCAGUGGGAGGAAGUUGUCCAUGUCCUUGUUUUCCAAUGUAGAAAGAAGUGGAGUUUGGACCAUUCAGCCUUUAUAAUGACGUCCGACUGUCAAGAGGUUAAAUUAGUCCUUCAUGGAAACAUGUUGCAUAUAAAGGAUCACAUUGAAAGAGUGUAAGACUGAACGUUCUUUGCUG